rnacentral:tRNA from 1 species
AGGGCGGUGGUCUAGUGGCUAUGAUGCUCUGCCUUGUAGGCAGAGAGGUCGGUGGUUCGAGUCCACCCCGCUCUA